CUGUAAGCCUGCGAAGGUGGCCUGUGAGGGUUGCUGGAGGUAUCAGAAGUGCGAAUGCUGACAUAAGUAACGAUAAAGCGGGUGAAAAGCCCGCUCGCCGGAAGACCAAGGGUUCCUGUCCAACGUUAAUCGGGGCAGGGUGAGUCGACCCCUAAGGCGAGGCCGAAAGGCGUAGUCGAUGGGAAACGGGUUAAUAUUCCCGUACUUGGUGUUACUGCGAAGGGGGGACGGAGAAGGCUAUGUUGGCCGGGCGACGGUUGUCCCGGUUUAAGCGUGUAGGUGUGUGUUCCAGGUAAAUCCGGUUCACUUUAACACUGAGGCGUGACGACGAGGCACUACGGUGCUGAAGCAACAAAUGCCCUGCUUCCAGGAAAAGCCUCUAAGCAUCAGGUAACAUCAAAUCGUACCCCAAACCGACACAGGUGGUCAGGUAGAGAAUACCAAGGCGCUUGAGAGAACUCGGGUGAAGGAACUAGGCAAAAUGGUGCCGUAACUUCGGGAGAAGGCACGCUGACACGUAGGUGAAGUGAUUUACUCAUGGAGCUGAAGUCAGUCGAAGAUACCAGCUGGCUGCAACUGUUUAUUAAAAACACAGCACUGUGCAAACACGAAAGUGGACGUAUACGGUGUGACGCCUGCCCGGUGCCGGAAGGUUAAUUGAUGGGGUCAGCGCAAGCGAAGCUCCUGAUCGAAGCCCCGGUAAACGGCGGCCGUAACUAUAACGGUCCUAAGGUAGCGAAAUUCCUUGUCGGGUAAGUUCCGACCUGCACGAAUGGCGUAAUGAUGGCCAGGCUGUCUCCACCCGAGACUCAGUGAAAUUGAACUCGCUGUGAAGAUGCAGUGUACCCGCGGCAAGACGGAAAGACCCCGUGAACCUUUACUAUAGCUUGACACUGAACAUUGAGCCUUGAUGUGUAG
rnacentral:rRNA from 1 species